rnacentral:rRNA from 1 species
GACGAACGCUGGCGGCGUGCUUAACACAUGCAAGUCGAGCGGUAAGGCCCUUUCGGGGGUACACGAGCGGCGAACGGGUGAGUAACACGUGGGUGACCUGCCCUCAGCUCUGGGAUAAGCCCGGGAAACUGGGUCUAAUACCGGAUAUGACUCCAUGACGCAUGUUGUGGGGUGGAAAGCCUUGUGCGGCUGAGGAUGGGCCCGCGGCCUAUCAGCUUGUUGGUGGGGUGAUGGCCACCAAGGCGACGACGGGUAGCCGGCCUGAGAGGGCGACCGGCCACACUGGGACUGAGAUACGGCCCAGACUCCUACGGGAGGCAGCAGUGGGGAAUAUUGCGCAAUGGCCUAACGGCUGACGCAGCGACGCCGCGUGGGGAUGACGCUUUUCGGAGU